rnacentral:piRNA from 1 species
UAGCAAAGUUUGAAAAUGACUUGCUGGU